CUCCUAUUAUGCUAGUACAAAGCUGUGAAAUUAUGUCUCCUGUGAAGUGUUGAAUAGGUCUAAAGUAGAAAUCAUGGAAUGUAGACUCCGAAGACCAGCCGCUCUCAUAAUAUCCUCCAAGCGACAACCAAUUGAGGAAGCCUUAGAAGCCAUUGCCCCACGAAUCGAAUAAGGCACAGACACAUAGGUAUCAAUACCUGCUAGACACAUAACAUAUUUGACCCACCAGGCUAGAGUAGACACCGGAAGAUGUGACUUUUGGAAGGAGAUGAAGAGUUCUUGUUUUAAAGGAUUCCGUAACAUAGUGGAACGAUGUUCACACACCCAUUAGUAUGCAACAGGGCAAAGGAGAGAUCUAUCAGGGAAAACUGGGUAAAAUUGAUUUUAGAGGAGGUUUUUGUCCUCCGUGAAAUGUCAAAGAGGACACCUUCUGGAGUAAAGGAACGAG